rnacentral:rRNA from 1 species
CCUACGGGAGGCAGCAGUGAGGAAUAUUGGUCAAUGGACGAGAGUCUGAACCAGCCAAGUAGCGUGAAGGAUGACUGCCCUAUGGGUUGUAAACUUCUUUUAUAAAGGAAUAAAACGAGGCACGUGUGCCUUUUUGUAUGUACUUUAUGAAUAAGGAUCGGCUAACUCCGUGCCAGCAGCCGCGGUAAUACGGAGGAUCCGAGCGUUAUCCGGAUUUAUUGGGUUUAAAGGGAGCGUAGAUGGGUUGUUAAGUCAGUUGUGAAAGUUUGCGGCUCAACCGUAAAAUUGCAAUUGAUACUGGGUGUCUUGAGUGCAGUUGAGGUAGGCGGAAAUCGUGGUGUAGCGGUGAAAUGCUUAGAUAUUAAGAAGAACCCCGAAUGCGAAGGCAGAUUACUAAACUGUAAAUGACACUGAUGCUCGAAAGUGUGGGUAUCAAACAGGAUUAGAUACCCCAGUAGUC